UGGUAUAAAAUAAAGCUGCAGGAAAAGGAAGUUACAGAGGUUAGAUAGCUACAGUUGCAUUGCAAACAUAAGUGCCGUUGCCUGAAUCAGUGUCCAGGAUAAUCCAAGGUUUUAUAGAGAUGGUGUGACUUAUAAUAAACGCCUGCAGCUACGUGGCGAGGAAGAUUUCUUCUGCUGUAAGAGGAGAGGGAUCUCAGCCUGCCAAGAAGACAUCAUGUAGCCAGGUGAAAAAAACUAAGAAAGGAAUGAGUUCUGAACAGGUCCAAGGGAACAUGGAUUCGUGUGAUCUCAAAUGUGACCUCCAGCCUGGAAUGGAUGUCCAGAAACGUGGAUCCUGACGUUGAAGAUGACACUGGCUAUGUGGUUUCACCCUGAUGGCCAGUGUCAAGCACAUAAGUUGCUGACUUCUAAUUAUCUUUACAGCAAAGCAUGAUGAUGUGAUCCCCAACUCCUUAAACAAGGAGAUGAGAACAUUGGAAAUUAACUUGCUGUUUUAAGUAAAGGAUUUUAAAAGAAAAUAAAAUGCUGUCAGAAAUA